rnacentral:rRNA from 1 species
AGGACGAACGCUGGCGGCGUGCUUAACACAUGCAAGUCAAGGGGGCCCAGCAAUGGGCAACCGGCGAACGGGUGCGUAACACGUGAGCAACCUACCGAAAUGUGGGGGAUAGCCGGCCUAACGGCCGAGUAAUACCGCAUACGCUCUCGAUGAGGCAUUUCAUUGAGAGGAAACCUACGGGACAUUUCGAGGGGCUCGCGGCCUAUCAGCUAGUUGGCGAGGCAACGGCUCACCAAGGCAACGACGGGUAGCUGGUCUGGAGGUAGAGUGCAGCCACAGUUAGGACUGGAGACGUACCGCCCGAAG